rnacentral:rRNA from 1 species
CGGGACGGACGAACCUCUGGUGUGCCAGUUGUUCCGCCAGGAGCACGGCUGGUUGGCUACGUUCGGAAGGGAUAACCGCUGAAAGCAUCUAAGCGGGAAGCCUGCUUCAAGAUGAGGUUUCCACGGGGUUCGCCCCGAGAGGCCCCCAGCUAGAACACUGGGUUGAUAGGCCGGACGUGGAAGUGUGGACUAACGACACAUGAAGCUGACCGGUACUAAUAGGCCGAUGACUUGACACACA